GAUGAACGCUGGCGGCGUGCCUAAUACAUGCAAGUCGAGCGAACAGACGAGGAGCUUGCUCCUCUGACGUUAGCGGCGGACGGGUGAGUAACACGUGGAUAACCUACCUAUAAGACUGGGAUAACUUCGGGAAACCGGAGCUAAUACCGGAUAACAUGUUGAACCGCAUGGUUCAACAGUGAAAGACGGUCUUGCUGUCACUUAUAGAUGGAUCCGCGCCGCAUUAGCUAGUUGGUAAGGUAACGGCUUACCAAGGCAACGAUGCAUAGCCGACCUGAGAGGGUGAUCGGCCACACUGGAACUGAGACACGGUCCAGACUCCUACGGGAGGCAGCAGUAGGGAAUCUUCCGCAAUGGGCGAAAGCCUGACGGAGCAACGCCGCGUGAGUGAAGAAGGUCUUCGGAUCGUAAAACUCUGUUAUUAGGGAAGAACAAAUGUGUAAGUAACUGUGCACAUCUUGACGGUACCUAAUCAGAAAGCCACGGCUAACUACGUG
rnacentral:rRNA from 1 species